rnacentral:rRNA from 1 species
GUUAGGAAUAUUGGACAAUGGGCGCAAGCCUGAUCCAGCCAUGCCGCGUGAGUGAUGAAGGCCUUCGGGUUGUAAAGCUCUUUAGUCCACGAAUAUAAUGACUGUAGUGGAAGAAUAAGCCCCGGCUAACUUCGUGCCAGCAGCCGCGGUAAUACGAAGGGGGCGAGCGUUAUUCGGAAUCACUGGGCGUAAAGCGUGCGUAGGCUGUUUUGUAAGUCAGAAGUGAAAGCCCAGGGCUUAACCCUGGAAUUGCUUUUGAAACUACAAGACUCGAAUUCGGGAGAGGAUAGCGGAAUUGUCAGUGUAGCAGUGAAAUGCGUAGAUAUUGACAGGAACACCAGUGGCGCAAGCGGCUAUCUGGACCGAUAUUGACGCUGAGGCACGAAAGCGUGGGGAGCAAACAGGAUUAGAAACCCUGGUAGUCC